UGGGGAAUAUUGGACAAUGGGCGAAAGCCUGAUCCAGCCAUGCCGCGUGUGUGAAGAAGGUCUUCGGAUUGUAAAGCACUUUAAGUUGGGAGGAAGGGCAGUAAGCGAAUACCUUGCUGUUUUGACGUUACCGACAGAAUAAGCACCGGCUAACUCUGUGCCAGCAGCCGCGGUAAUACAGAGGGUGCAAGCGUUAAUCGGAAUUACUGGGCGUAAAGCGCGCGUAGGUGGUUCGUUAAGUUGAAUGUGAAAGCCCCGGGCUCAACCUGGGAAAUGCAUCCAAAACUGGCGAGCUAGAGUAGGGAAGAGGGUGGUGGAAUUUCCUGUGUAGCGGUGAAAUGCGUAGAUAUAGGAAGGAACACCAGUGGCGAAGGCGACCACCUGGGCUCAUACUGACACUGAGGUGCGAAAGCGUGGGGAGCAAACAGG
rnacentral:rRNA from 1 species